rnacentral:rRNA from 1 species
UAGCAUAUCAAUAAGCGGAGGAAAAGAAACCAACAGGGAUUGCCUUAGUAACGGCGAGUGAAGCGGCAAAAGCUCAAAUUUGAAAUCUAGCACUUUCAGUGUUCGAGUUGUAAUUUGAAGAAGGUAUCUUUGGAGUUGGCCCCUGUCUAUGUUCCUUGGAACAGGACGUCACAGAGGGUGAGAAUCCCGUGCGAUGGGGAGACCAAUUCUAUGUAAAGUUCCUUCGAAGAGUCGAGUUGUUUGGGAAUGCAGCUCUAAGUGGGUGGUAAAUUCCAUCUAAAGCUAAAUAUUGGCGAGAGACCGAUAGCGAACAAGUACAGUGAUGGAAAGAUGAAAAGAACUUUGAAAAGAGAGUGAAAAAGUACGUGAAAUUGUUGAAAGGGAAGGACUUUUGAUCAGACUUGGUGUUUAGUACUCUCUACUCCUUGUGGGUGGGGCUCUUGCUUUAUACUGGGCCAGCAUCGGUUUGGGUGGCAGGAUAAUGGCAUUGGAAUGUGGCUUCAUUCGUGGAGUGUUAUAGCCUUUGUUGAUACUGCCUAUCUAGACCGAGGACUGCGUCUUUUGACUAGGAUGCUGGCGUAAUGAUUAAAAGUCGCCCGUCUUGAAACACGGACCAAGGAGUCUAACGUCUAUGCGAGUGUUUGGGUGUAAAACCCGUACGCGUAAUGAAAGUGAACGUAGGUGAGGGCCCUUUUCUGGGUGCAUCAUCGACCGAUCCUGAUGUUUUCGGAUGGAUUUGAGUAAGAGCAUAGCUGUUGGGACCCGAAAGAUGGUGAACUAUGCCUGAAUAGGGUGAAGCCAGAGGAAACUCUGGUGGAGGCUCGUAGCGGUUCUGACGUGCAAAUCGAUCGUCGAAUUUGGGUAUAGGGGGCGAAAGACUAAUCGAACCAUCUAGUAGCUGGUUCCUGCAU